AGCGAACGCUGGCGGCAGGCUUAACACAUGCAAGUCGAGCGGGCAUAGCAAUAUGUCAGCGGCAGACGGGUGAGUAACGCAUGGGAACGUACCUUUUGGUUCGGAACAACACAGGGAAACUUGUGCUAAUACCUGAUAAGCCCUUACGGGGAAAGAUUUAUCGCCGAAAGAUCGGCCCGCGUCUGAUUAGCUAGUUGGUGAGGUAAUGGCUCACCAAGGCGACGAUCAGUAGCUGGUCUGAGAGGAUGAUCAGCCACAUUGGGACUGAGACACGGCCCAAACUCCUACGGGAGGCAGCAGUGGGGAAUAUUGGACAAUGGGCGCAAGCCUGAUCCAGCCAUGCCGCGUGAGUGAUGAAGGCCCUAGGGUUGUAAAGCUCUUUUGUGCGGGAAGAUAAUGACGGUACCGCAAGAAUAAGCCCCGGCUAACUUCGUGCCAGCCGCCGCAGUAA
rnacentral:rRNA from 1 species